rnacentral:misc_RNA from 1 species
CUAUCCCCAAAAAGACCAUUUGACUCCCUAAUUAUUUAUCGUAUCCUUUUUAUUUAUCCUUUUUCGUUAGCGGUUCAAAACUCCUUAUCUUUCUCAUUCACUACUCUUUAUACAAAUGGAUCUGAACGGAAAUACUGUUCUGUUAUCACAUC